rnacentral:lncRNA from 1 species
GCAAAAGUCACUGGAUUGACUCUCAGAAAAAAACUGCUGUAUGUAGUUAUGCCUCACCUUGUUAAAAAAACGAAUUCAAGUGGCUUCUAUUUUGACUGUGUUUCAGGCAAGAGAAAAAGAAUGAACAGGGGCUCUCUGAGCUCCAGUGGGUCUAGAAACUUUUUCCACUGCAUACUUCUAUCGGGAGUGCUCCAAGGGAAGCCUGCUCCAGCUUCGGAGAAACACCACCACCAUUUCCGCAGGAGCAAAAUGGAACUGGGGAGGAAGAGCCCGAGGGACAUUUCACAGCUCUCAGGGAAAAGAGAUCGUCUCCAAUCUCCUGCCACCUCCAGCUUUACAAUCUCUUCCAACUUCCCAGAUGAUUUCUACAUGCAACAAAGGCUGAGAAGCAAUGGUUUAAAGCCCGCCUCCCUGGGAUGCUCUAAACCUCCAGAGUGAAAGAAAGGCUUUGGCUCUGUUGUUUAUGGCUGUGUUCCCAGUGCUCACCCCAGUGCUUAGCAUUAAACAUAUUUGUUGGAUGAACGCAUAAAAAACACUGUGCAGCGUUUCUUUGCUGUUUCACUGUGUCCUUGAUUCAGCAGCCAGGUAAAAGGAAAAGCUUCCUGCAGGCCCUGCCCCAAGUUCCCAGCAGGAUGACACCGUUCCCUAGCAAAAGCAGCAGCUGCUUGCAGCACAGGACCCCAAUCCAAGCUGAUGACAGGCAGGCCCUGAGUCUGUGUGCCAGUGUGGGUCCUUGCCUUGCAACCUGUAAGGAGCAGACAGCUCCCUACCGCAAGAGCCAGACUGGAGUGCCCAGUGAAGUAGAAGGGAAAGCACAUUGCUAGGAUGAGAGGGACAAGAGUUACACAAAGGUAGGGAUGACAAUAAUAAGGAAGUACAAUGGUUUAAUUUGGUUCUUGGAGGAUAAUCAAGUUGUUGUACCUCGUGUUGCUUAUUCCCAUAGCUGUCCAGCAAGUAAUGAAUGCAGCACCUACCAGUAUGGAAAUAAGGACAAGGAGUGACUUUGAUUUCUUAUUUGUUAUUUUUAACCAUCCAAUUUCCACACCCACUGAGCAUCCUUAUAGCCACAGGAGGGUCAUAAAAAUACAAAUAACACCUAGGAGGCCUCUGGGCACGGACUUGUUACUUCUGCAGGGCUGCUGAUUCUCUUUUAACUAGGGUAAAAUCAGGCCAACAAUAAAUUGCCAUUUUUUUUUCUUGUCAUUUCUAGCACAAUUUCAGAAAAUGCAAGGAAAUCACUAAAUGCUUUUUUUUUUAAAAAAUAGAUUUUUAGCAGGGUGAGGCAAAGAAUCUGCCCAAGGACUGAAAUUCU